CCACUGAAGAUCCUGGUGUCGCCAUGGGCCGCCGCCCCGCCCGUUGUUACCGAUAUUGUAAGAACAAGCCGUACCCAAAGUCUCGCUUCUGCCGAGGUGUCCCUGAUGCCAAGAUUCGCAUUUUUGACCUGGGGCGGAAGAAGGCAAAAGUGGAUGAGUUUCCGCUCUGUGGCCACAUGGUAUCAGAUGAAUAUGAGCAGCUGUCCUCUGAAGCCCUGGAGGCUGCCCGAAUUUGUGCCAAUAAGUACAUGGUAAAAAGUUGUGGCAAAGAUGGCUUCCAUAUCCGGGUGAGGCUCCACCCCUUCCACGUCAUCCGCAUCAACAAGAUGUUGUCCUGUGCUGGGGCUGACAGGCUCCAAACAGGCAUGCGAGGUGCCUUUGGAAAGCCCCAGGGCACUGUGGCCAGGGUUCACAUUGGCCAAGUUAUCAUGUCCAUCCGCACCAAGCUGCAGAACAAGGAGCAUGUGAUUGAGGCUCUGCGCAGGGCCAAGUUCAAGUUUCCUGGCCGCCAGAAGGUACGUAGUGCUGCAGCCCCCUUCUCCCACCUUUUUUGCCUCAGGCCUCCUGACUCAAUUCUUUCCAUUGCUCCCUAGAUCCACAUCUCAAAGAAGUGGGGCUUCACCAAGUUCAAUGCUGAUGAAUUUGAAGACAUGGUGGCUGAGAAGCGGCUCAUCCCAGAUGGCUGUGGGGUCAAGUACAUCCCCAAUCGUGGCCCUCUGGACAAGUGGCGGGCCCUGCACUCAUGAGGGCUUCCAAUGUGCUGCCCCCCUCUUAAUACUCACCAAUAAAUUCUACUUCCUGUCCA
rnacentral:sRNA from 1 species